AUGCUUGUCUAAGUGUUACCUUAAUGUCAAGAGAAUAAUCUUGUACAAUGCAUAUUUUAUCUGAUUUUUGCGUAUCCAACCCAUGUGCUUUAUAUUAACCGAACUGAUUUAAAUGUCAUACUCUUGUUUUGUAUGUCAGUGGCAUGUGCAUGUAAAAUCCUUUGCAGAUAGUACAAGAACAACCAAGCCUUCUUACAGAGUGUUAGAUUGCUUGAUGCUGCUACUUCGUAUGCUUGCUUAAGUGUCACCCCAAUGUCAAGAGAAUAAUCUUGUACGAUGAAUAUUUUACAUUUUUUUUGUUCUUGGUACUGUUGUUUUUUUGCUGAUCCACUACACUUGCUUUACAUUAACCAAAAUGAUUUGAGCAAGCAUACUAUUGUUUUAUUGCCGUGGGGUGUACAAGUAAAAUCCAUUGCAGAUACAAGAAUGACUUUUGUGGAGAAACAAAAUUCCCAGCCAUAUUAGCUUUGGGAAUAGUCAUCCUGCAACAUCUUCUUUAAUUCCUCUUGUGGCCAUGAAUCCGUUGGUUAUAAAGUUUGCAAUAACAAAACAACAUCGUGUUUCUUGUAUACUGGAACAUUUUUUUCCAUUUAAGGUAGCUGUUUAUUCAAUGAGAUUUUCUAACUUUGUCCUACUCUAUUAUUUGGUUUCUUGGGGCUUAUCUCUAGAUUAUGGUGAAGCAAGGGGGAGUUGCUUAUAUCCGAGUUGUUGCCACAAGCGACUUUCAUCCUCUAUUGUAGCUUUAGCGAAUAUAGUUGAUGCAUGAUUGCAGAUGCCAAUGAUAGGUGUAUAUGUGAGAAGAGUAUGUGCGUACAUUGGUGUAUGUCUACCAAUAAUGAUUACUAAAAUUCCAAAUUGCACAUAUUGACAGUGGAACCUCCCAGUUUCCAUUUCUCUUCAAGGCUACAUUUGCAUGUAAUUUUUUUUGACAACCAAAUUGCUACAUAGACUACUUUGUUUUAGUAGUGCAGUAUUUUAUGUUCUUCCAUCAGAGGUACUUCAUUCAUUUUUUUACACCUUUGGAUAUAUGACUUCAUCUUUCUUUUAUAUAUAAAAUAGACGCCAGAUGUGUGCAUAACUACUUCCAUGAUGAGCCGAUAUUUGUCGAGCAGGUCAUGCCACGUCUUCCCACCGAGAUCCAGUGGAGACAGCUGGGCCUGUAGCUCAGAGGAUUAGAGCACGUGGCUAUGAACCACCCACGGUGUUAGGGGUUCGAAUCCCUCCUCUUGUCGGUCACCAUCGAGCUCCAAAAUAUGUGAUGAUGUAAAUUGUUUUAUGUGAGAUGUUUAAUGUGUACCGGUGAUGCAGCAUUUUGGACUGCUCUGAAAUAUAAACGGGUAGCUAAUUUUAGGUUGCUUCAAAAUAUGGGCCAUGUAAAUGGAAAGUUCUAUGUCUGAGUCGGAUGUAAGGCUGCUUGUAAUGGGUAGUAUCAUAAGUUAGUAUCAUGCAUAUGAUACUAGUAUAUGAUAUUACCUCCCUAAUGCAUAGUAUCAUAGAUACUUUAUUUAUUGUCAUGCAUGACACAGUAGUAUUGCAUUUUUGCAUUUAUUAUUAUACGAUAUCAUAAUAUGAUAUUCAACCCUCUCUUUCUUCAUUUAAUUCUAUGUCAUCUCAUCUAAAUUGCCUAGUUGGC
rnacentral:lncRNA from 1 species